GCUCUGUAUUGUCCACUAUACUCAAUACCUUGAACAAUUCAUUACUUAGCUGCCAAACGUCACUUAUUGUUACCUGAUCUCUCAGAACCUCGAACCUCUGCCACGCAGCAUGUGGCAAACAGACAAAGGCGCUUAAUUCUUUUGGCCAAGUAACAGGUUAUAAAUAUUGUCAAAUACAAGAAGACCUAUGUUUGACUCAGUAGGUUUUGGUGAGGGAGAGGCUGGGGCUGUGCAGUCCCGUUGCUUCUCAACACACACAUCCUCACAGGGUUGAUUAAGCUGCAGAGCUCUGAUUGAUGACUGCACACUUGCGCCGGUGCUCUGGGGUUCAUCUACAGUAUGUGGGUGUCCUCUGAGUGAAAACUCUCAUUUCCUGCAAAGACACAAGUAUGGAGGUGUUUUCUUGAAUGCGUCAGCAAUCAAGGAUUGGUCAGCAGAGGAUUCUAGGGAGGAAAAAAAGCUUUUUUAUGGCAAUAUGUUGAUGUGCCAAGUGUGUUGUGAAAUCCAGCAUUGUUUCAGCAUGGCUUUUUGGAACAAUAAAAGGAACUGUGGUUGGUGUGUGGUUUUCCACAGGAGAAGUAA